CUGACCAGGGACCUCUCCACUGAGACAGCUGGAAGAUGGCCCAGGUAAGACCAGAAGCUCUGAAACGGAGGAGCAAAGGAGACAGGGCGCCAGAAGCAAAGUGACAGGAGGAGCAACGGGGAAGACCGUCCUGGGCACAGGUGCUGCUGGCUACGAGAGAUUGGAGUUGAAAGAGGCAGAUGCUGAGCCUGAGGCCCCAACAUAAGAGGAAACAUGAGAAGCCACACACCAAGGGAAGACCUGCCAGUGUAUGUGGUCAUGAUGAGUCCCUGGAUCUCAGUCCGGGCACUUAGACUUUUAACCCCAGAACUUAGUAUACAUUUCAGUAAUUAAAUAUCAAGCCACUUCUGUGCUUGCUUCAUUCUUCACUCCUGAAAUCCUGGCAUCCGUCAUUCCUAAAUAUAAUACAUGCCAGUGUGCGGCGGCGGGUGUCAGCUUACCAGAAUGCCAUUAUCCCCUCGCCCUCUGCCAAGGAAUCACUUUACACGGACAUUCUUCCUGGGACGGCUGGCCUGUGCCUCCCCAGAGCCUGGAGGCAACAGCAGGAGAGUGGACAUCACCAGCUGGGGACCUGCCUGCACCCGCCGACAGCCACAUGCCCUUGAGCGACUCCGAUGAAAGCCACAGAAACGCUGCCAGCUGCCGCCCAAACACGAGUGCAGCUCUGGAAGUCACCUGUGACCUCUUCCCCUGCACCAUAGGCCCCUGGCUCUGCCUCCUGGUAUGGGCCCUAGUGUCUUACCUGCUCCCUCAGAGCUGGAAAGGUCUGCCCCUGCCCCCAUCAAAAAAGGAAGUUCCAUUUUAAAAAGAAAGAUUCUGAAAAUUGAAAUUUGUUCAAUAGGAACCAAGAAAUUGGAAGAGGCCCCUUCUUCCAAUCCCCCCACCCCCACACCCACACCCACAGAGAGCCAUUAUAAAUGGGAAAGGAGCAUCACCCUUUCCAGGGUGUCCCAGCACCCUGGGGACAAUUCGGGCCCCCGGGGGCAAGCCACUGCAGGGAGUCACUGGUUUUCUCCAUUAGUCUCUUUUACUUAUGUGUGUCUCUGCCUUAAUAAAACUCUAUCUGAA